CACCAUCUACUUACGAGAUCAUCAUGGUGUCUCUCAGUGGAAGCCUCUUACUGUUGGUUGCCAUCAGCGCAGCAAUAAGUGUUCUCCGGAGGUGGUGCACGUCGAAUUACUCAUCCAAAAAUCUCAGUGCACCUGCGGUGGUGGAAAACGUAACAGUGGCAAACAGAAGCUCUGAUAAGAUUUCAACGGUGGAUUUCACUGGCCCGGUGUGUAUCAGUUACAUUUCUGGCACGAGAACUGUAUCCCCGGCCAGAGUUUGCGAUCCAUGACGGGAUAAGUUCCAUUGCUUUCUUCUGGAGACAAAAGGACUUUGGGGUGUAUGCUGGGGAGCUGACAGACUGACACAACCCACCAUAGAUUUGGACUGUGAACUCGUACUGCACCAGUACUGGAAAAUGCAGGAAAAUGGAAUUUUUUAAUCAACGUGGAAUUUUUUAAUCAAAGUGGAGAAAAAGCUGCCUAAGGAAGUUGUGGCUGCCUCAUCCCUGGAAGUGUUCAGGUUGGACAGGCCUUGAGGAACCUGCUCUAGGGGAAGGUGUCCAUGCCCAUGGCAGGGGUUGGAACUGGAUGAGCUUUAGGGUCCCUUCCAACUCAAACCAGUCUGGGGUUCUUUUCUUUCUCAGCUGCCUUGGCACUAGGGAGGCCUUCCUUUUUGCCAAGCCGUUUAGUUUUCUCUUUCCCUCCAUCUUUUUCCUUUUGCUGUUCUUCUGC